AUGCCUGGCUCCCGAUGCUGUCCUUCUACAGGAGUGUGUGCACAGUUGAGACUGGAAGCAUCUGGCGGAGGUGUGCGAGCACCUGGGGAGUCCGUGCGUCUGUCCUGCCGGGGAGCCGGCUUCAGCUUUGGAGAUUAUCACGUACUGUGGUACCGUCAGGGACCUGGUGGCUCUCUCAAGUGGCUGUCCUACAUCAGCACCAGCAGCUCAUAUACGAGAUUCAACUCUGAGGUGCAGGGUCGUGCCUCGGUUUCUCGUGAGGAUUCCCAGUCUGUGUCCUAUCUGUCUCUCCGCGCCCUGCGCCCACACGACUCAGCGCACUACUUCUGUGCUGUUCGCACGGGAACAGGAAAUCCUGCAGAGCUGUAA